CACGUGGGUGAUCUGCCUUGUACUCUGGGAUAAGCUUGGGAAACUGGGUCUAAUACCGGAUAGGAACUGCCUUUAGUGUGGUGGUUGGAAAGUUUUUUCGGUGCAAGAUGAGCUCGCGGCCUAUCAGCUUGUUGGUGGGGUAAUGGCCUACCAAGGCGUCGACGGGUAGCCGGCCUGAGAGGGUGUACGGCCACAUUGGGACUGAGAUACGGCCCAG
rnacentral:rRNA from 1 species